AUUGGCUUCUCAAAGUGAGAAGGAAUCUGCAGAGAUAAUAAUGCCUUCCAAGGAAUACAGAGCAGCUUAACUUCAGCAUCCCAAUGGGAUUCAUCCAAACAGUAGCUUAAACUUCCAAAUAUUCCAGGCUUUUCCUCCUUCAGCUGGAAGUUAAGGUAGCAGAUCCCCAAGUACAUCUCCCAGAGAAGCUUAGAUGCAGUUCCUGUGCCCACGCGUUCCUACUCGAGACACCAAGAAACCACCGAACUCCUGAGUCCUUUUGGUCCCUGAACUUCAUCCUCAAGUUUUGUCCAGUGGAGUCAUCACACACAAAAGUGUCUGCCACUGAACUUAAUCUGCAUACCUGUAAAAUGGGACCAUAGCAAAUACUGCAUCCUAAAUCAUCUUGCAGAGCAUGGAGAUACUCUUCCUGGAGGCGACAGACAGCAGGAGCCAGAGCCACUCUUGGUCCUUAGCAGAACUUUCUAAUUCGUUUUGCUUCUCAUUGCACGCCCCAGCUGCUCUGUUACGAUGAACCAAUGUACUCUGUUUCCUCCAAGGCCACAUUUUGUAGCAUGCAAUGCUUCUCGGUGAAGUAUAAUAUGGCAAGGCAAAAUCUGAUUCACUCACUUUAUGCCAUAGCUCAUGUAUGGCGCACAUGAGCAAUUGUUUCCAUGAAGGCUGUACUCACUUUGUUCCUUUUCCAUCCUGCCUGUCUCUCAUGUCUUCUAUCUCUGUCUUUAGGGCAGCAACCUAAAAGGGAAAAAUUGCUUAACUGUUCAUUGCAUGCAGUUAAAAACUCCUGAAAAGGACAAGCUGGAUGGUAUUACAGAUACAGCAGGAAUAAAACUGGUUAGAGCAAAUUGUUGCCCAUAUAUUACUGUUCUGUAAUGUAGACGUCAGAGGCAAUGAGGAAAGAUUUUCCAGUGGGGAAAACUAAGCCGUUCAGCUUGAAACAAGCAGUGCAGAUUAGGAAUCAGGGUUCUCUUCUUCUCAGCAUAGUAACUGAUAAACUGAAAUGAAGUUUUACAGCAAUGACAGCUGCUGAUUCAAGUGCAUAUCCCACCACUAAUUUCUGAAUUUCUUGAAGUGGGAGACGUUGAUUGUUUUGUUCCAUUUUUAACAUGCAGCCCUACGAUUUCUUAACAGUGUCGUUUUUCUCACUGAGAUGAUUAAACCUUUCAGUUGCAGUCUGAUCCAGGUACUUAAGCAAACCACUCUUUCUGCAUUACAGGAAGAAAGAGAAAUCCAGAGCAAAAUUAUAGGUAUGCCUCAACUUUGGGAAAGCUCAGAUUUUAAGCAAAGUCUGAUUCUUGAUUCUUCUCUGCUAAAAAUAUCACGUAGUUGGCUGCAGGACUGCUUGGCAGAAGACUUGUGGAGGUCUUCAAGUCUGAAGCUGCUUCAGGUGUUGAUUGCCACCUGGUACCCUCUUGCAAAUAUAUGGAGGGAACUUGGAUUUUAGGCUAAAAGAGUUGGACAGAAUUGCAGUAACAGUAAUUACUCAUAUGUGCAUCUCCACUGAAACUUCAGAAAAUGAUUUAAAAGACUGCUACCACUUCAGGGGUUACAUGUGCAGUGUGUUUUAAUUCCAACAAGGUUUGUGAGCAUCUUAAAAUAGAAAUCCUUGUUUUCCUUAUUUAGUUCAACAGUGAACUAAACUUUGGUUGGAUUACUGCUGGUAACACAGGCAAUGAUAAGAGAGUUUUCAGUAAACCUUAAGGCCCAGAGGUUUAGAUUUUCUCCUAAAAUGGACUACUCAGAAUACAAAUACUUUCAUGGCUUUUGAAACUCACUGAGAACAAUAAUAUUUUUUGAAACUAAACCUGUUUCUUCCAUGCUGGAUACACAUACCUCAGAGUAUCACACAAGUGCAUGAGAACUACAGGCUGACUUACACCAAUUUGUGCGCUAAGAUGAGGGCAUAAUUUGCUUUGAAAGCCAAAAUGCAUUUAUUUUUAGACUCGUGACUGCUCAUGCCAUAAAGGAAGCUAAUUUCAAAAUGUUUUCCUAAUUACAAAGGAACAGAGUAUUUUGCUGCAUUACAAUAGCACUUUUCUCUGAAAUCUUUGUGUACUCUGUUAUACAACACUGAAUCAUUUAUAUUUCUACAAAAAAAAAAAGUCUUAACUCCUUUGAACACAGGGCUGAGGGUCUGGAAUGCUAAUAUUUAGCACAGAUGGCUUUUUCUUCUAAUACCUUGUACUUCAUUUACAUUAAUAUGCCUUUGUGGGAUUAUAAAUAUGUUAUUACAAAUGUAUUAUGUUAUCAUCUGUACAAUAACAUGUGGCAUAUGAAGAUAUCAUCACAGUAAACCACACUUUGUGACUUCUGC
rnacentral:lncRNA from 7 species